rnacentral:rRNA from 1 species
GACGAACGCUGGCGGCGUGCUUAACACAUGCCAGUCGAACGGAAAGGCCUGCUUUCCCUUGUGGAUUGCGGGUACUCGAGUGGCGAACGGGUGAGUAACACGUGAGUGAUCUGCCCCCAACUUGGGUAUAAGCCUGGGAAACUGGGUCUAAUUCCCGAUAGGACUGCAGGGUGGUGCCUGUGGUGGAAAACGAUUUUCUAGUGGUUGGGGAUGAGCUCGCGGCCUAUCAGCUUGUUGGUGGGGUAAUGGCCUACCAAGGCGGCGACGGGUAGCCGGCCUGGGAGGGUGGACGGCCACAUUGGGACUGAGAUACGGCCCAGACUCCUACGGGAGGCAGCAGUGGGGAAUAGUGCACAAUGGGCGGAAGCCUGAUGCAGCGACGCCGCGUGGGGGAUGACGGCCUUCGGGUUGUAAACUCCUUUCGACCGCGAGGAAGCCACCUGGUUGGAAGGGUGGUGACGGUAGUGGUAGAAGAAGCACCGGCUAACUACGUG